rnacentral:snoRNA from 1 species
GUACCAUGGUGUGGGCAUUGUAGUAAAAGUGAUUUGAAGCAAUCCUAUGCUUCAUAAAAGGAUUUAAUAUCCUUUUAAUAAAAGUUGGAAAUUUCAGCCCUUCUUUGGUCU